ensembl:lncRNA
GUUGCUUUUAUAACCCCCUUUGAGUUUUGUGGCCCAUUUUUGUGGAGCUAUUUGGAAUGCAGGUAGUUCUGCAUGCUUUUUUAUUUUUUUUUCUUUUUCUCCUUGUUACAAAAUAUUCCCGCUGUAGUUCCAGGGAACUGAAGUCAGGACUUCUGAGCCCUCUCCUGUGACCAACACGCCGUGCACUGCCUGCGCAGCACCAGACCCCGCCUGUGCUGCCGACCCGAGCAGCCACCCUGCGCCGUGCCACCAGCGAGAAGAGAAACCUCGCGCUGCUGCGGGGCCUGGGAGCAGCUGGCACCGCGUCUGCGUACGGCUCCACAGCUCCCUGCGGGCCGGCUCACGGGGGGGAUGCCGGCGGUGCUGCCCGUGGGUGCUUCUGUGGGGCUGCGACAGACCCUGGGGGUUUGUCCACAGCUGGAGCUAAGUGCCGGGGCUGGCAGCAAAGGCAAGCAAAUGGCUAAUUUUACCCAUUAAAGUGUAACAGUAGGGUCAGGACAGAUAUCGUGUAUUGUGUCAGUACUUCGCUCCACUAUUUUAAAACAGUGAUACUUCCCCAGUAGUCCCUGUGCUAUGUUUUAGCUGCCUUCAGUGUGUUCUCUGGCUGGAAUAGUGCCUGCCCCCUGCGUGCAGAGGUGAAACUUGAAGGGCUGCCCAAAGGCCUCAUCUUUGGGGUUAGAAAAUGUAAGUGGAAAACUGCCUGACCUGAUAAGUCAAGAGCAGGUUGUACGGAGAUUUUUGUAACUCUGAAUUUUCCACUAGAAUAUUCUGGAGUUACAAAAAUCUCCAUACAACAGCUGCUGUUUCACAAACGCUUAUUCCCUUUUGACAAGGUUUCUGUCACUUCUACCCUGUGCAGAGACAAUGCGACGUCUUCGAAUCUUUUUGAGCAGCUACUGGGGCGGAAACAGAUGGGUUGAGACAGAUACCUUGAGACAGAAGGUAGCUCCCAAGGAGAGGCAUCAGCCUAAUGGGGACUCGAGUCUGAUGCUUUCUGGGUGUUUGCAAACCCUCUUCCGCUCCCUUAACCUCCUUUCCUCAGCUAUGGAUUAGAGUGAGCAGAAACUACCUGCCUGCUUCUCCCUCACCGACUUCUCGUCUUCGCUGUGCAAAAACCAUUAUUGGUUUUUAAAUGGUGAGGCUGUAAGUGCUGUGCAGCCGGGAUUGCAGCUCCUCUUCAGGUCCGUGAAGGAGCAGCCGUGUCCGGGGCAUUGCUGUGCCGUUUGCCGCAGGAGUGAGUGUCCAGCGUCAGCAUCUCCAUUGAGUCACCAUCCACUUCCACGGCUUUUUGAUCUGACAGGAAGAUAAACAUCUCUGAGCUAAAAAUCUUCCCAUCUGAAACUCUAGGACACUUAAUUACCAUGCGGCAAAUAUAUUUUAUAUAGCCAUUUCAAAUAAUUUAGCCACCGCAAUAUGGCAGUUUAAUUUCAGUUAUUUAUCUCAAUCAUUUUGCAUGAGAGAGAGAAGUGCCUCGGCGUGAUCUCAAGGGGAUGCUUCAUCUCCUCCUGUGUGGCUACAGGUGAAGCCUGCACAAUGCUUUUCUGUGUCAGAAUGAGUUUUGCAGGCAGCUGGCCUGAAUUAAAGCACCGAAGCGGAUACACGGAAACUUUGCUUGCAUUUUGUGUAUGAACCUAAUGUGUCCUAAUGCGAACUACCUUUAAAGUAUCUUACCUUCACGCACAGAAGAGGGGAAAAGGAAAUAAACCCACCCACCCAUGUCCGUGCA